CCCUCGCGGUCCGAGUUGUAAUUUGCAGAGGAUGCUUUUGGUGCGGUGCCUUCCGAGUUCCCUGGAACGGGACGCCAGAGAGGGUGAGAGCCCCGUACGGUUGGACACCUACCCUAUAUAUAGCUCCUUCGACGAGUCGAGUAGUUUGGGAAUGCUGCUCUAAAUGGGAGGUAAAUUUCUUCUAAAGCUAAAUACCGGCCAGAGACCGAUAGCGCACAAGUAGAGUGAUCGAAAGAUGAAAAGCACUUUGAAAAGAGGGUUAAAUAGCACGUGAAAUUGUUGAAAGGGAAGCGUUUGCGACCAGACUUUUUCCAGGCGGAUCAUCCGGUGUUCUCACCGGUGCACUUCGCCUGGUUUAGGCCAGCAUCGGUUUCCUUAGGGGGAUAAAGGCCUGGGGAACGUAGCUCUCUAGGGAGUGUUAUAGCCCCUCGCGUAAUACCCCUCGGGGGACCGAGGACCGCGCUCUGCAAGGAUGCUGGCGUAAUGGUCGUCAACGACCCGUCUUGAAACACGGACCAAGGAGUCGAACAUUUGUGCGAGUGUUUGGGUGUUAAACCCUCACGCGUAAUGAAAGUGAACGGAGGUGAGAGCCCUUUAGGGUGCAUCAUCGACCGAUCCUGAUGUCUUCGGAUGGAUUUGAGUAAGAGCAUAACUGUUCGGACCCGAAAGAUGGUGAACUAUGCGUGGAUAGGGUGAAGCCAGAGGAAACUCUGGUGGAGGCUCGCAGCGGUUCUGACGUGCAAAUCGAUCGUCAAAUCUGCGCAUGGGGGCGAAAGUACGUAUCCAAUUAUUAUUAUCCAACUACCCUAUAAACUACCCCAGCUCGAAAACCUAGGCUAUUGCAGCCAUCAAAAUCCCCUAUCAAAAUCCCCAAAAACUGCCCAGCUCGAAAACUUAGGCUAUUGCAGCCAUCAAAAUCCCCUAAUCGAACCCCCAAAAAAACUUGCCCGGCUAUUGCAGCCAUCAAAAUUCCCCUAUCGAAACCCCCAAAAACUUGCCCAGCUCGAAUAUCUAGGCUAUUGCAGCCAUCAAAUCCCCCGAUCAAAAUACCCAAAACUACCUAAGCUCGAACAUAUAUACUAACGCAGCACCCAACAGGACUUAUCGAACCAUCUAGUAGCUGGUUACCGCCGAAGUUUCCCUCAGGAUAGCAGUGUUGUCUUCAGUUUUAUGAGGUAAAGCGAAUGAUUAGGGACUCGGGGGCGCUAUAUUGCCUUCAUCCAUUCUCAAACUUUAAAUAUGUAAGAAGCCCUUGUUACUUAGUUGAACGUGGGCAUUCGAAUGUACCAACACUAGUGGGCCAUUUUUGGUAAGCAGAACUGGCGAUGCGGGAUGAACCGAACGCGGGGUUAAGGUGCCAGAGUGGACGCUCAUCAGACACCACAAAAGGUGUUAGUACAUCUUGACAGCAGGACGGUGGCCAUGGAAGUCGGAAUCCGCUAAGGACUGUGUAACAACUCACCUGCCGAAUGUACUAGCCCUGAAAAUGGAUGGCGCUCAAGCGUCUCACCCAUACCUCGCCCUUAGGGUAGAAACGAUGCCCUAAGGAGUAGGC
rnacentral:rRNA from 1 species